AAUCAACGCUGGCGGCGUGCCUAACACAUGCAAGUCGCACGAGAAAGGGGCUUCGGCCCUGAGUACAGUGGCGCACGGGUGAGUAACACGUGAAUGAUCUACCUCCGAGUGGGGAAUAACUGAGAGAAAUCUUAGCUAAUACCGCAUAACACUUACGAGUCAAAGCAGCAAUGCGCUUGGAGAGGAGUUCGCGGCAGAUUAGUUAGUUGGCGGGGUAAUGGCCCACCAAGACGAUGAUCUGUAUCCGGCCUGAGAGGGC
rnacentral:rRNA from 1 species